rnacentral:rRNA from 1 species
UACGUAGGGUGCGAGCGUUAAUCGGAAUUACUGGGCGUAAAGCGUGCGCAGGCGGUUGUGCAAGACCGAUGGGAAAUCCCCGGGCUUAACCUGGGAAUGGCAUUGGUGACUGCACGGCUAGAGUGUGUCAGAGGGGGGUAGAAUUCCACGUGUAGCAGUGAAAUGCGUAGAGAUGUGGAGGAAUACCGAUGGCGAAGGCAGCCCCCUGGGAUAACACUGACGCUCAUGCACGAAAGCGUGGGGAGCAAACAGG